GUGCUCGCUUUGGUGCAUAUACACUAAAAUUGGAACAAUACAGAGAUUAGCAUGGUCCCUGUGCAAGGAUAACAUGCAAAUUCAUGAGGCAUUCCAUGUUUUA